GUGUGAAUGAAGGUUUUUUGUUUUUGUUUUUGAGCUAAUACGUGUUUACUUAGUGCUACUUAGCAACUGCAUGACGCAACUGUAACCCAUGACUAUCAGUCACACAAUCGAUUUUUCUUGAUAUUUUCACGUUAGCUUCAGUGAUGCCAGAUACAAUAUAAUAAGGAGACGCUGGUAGGAAAGUGAAUGGGAGAAAUACAGCUCAUAUACUGUCAGUCUUGCCUUUUAGUUUAAAGAACCAAUAACCUGUGCAGAAGUUGUUGCAAUAAUGAAAGUUUUGAGUUUUUGCCAGAGCAUUGCUACAGUGUUUGGUAAGUUGUUAUGUGGUUGCUUCACUCUAAAAAAAGAUGGUUCUUGAAAGGUUCUUUACUGAUCAUAAUAGUUCUAUUAAGAACCAUAUCUACUUGAAGAACCUUGUUGUGCUUAAAUAGUUCUUUGCUUGGGAUUAGGGUUGUUUAUUCCCACCCUUUUUGGUUUUUGAAUAUUACUGUCAAUAAAUUCUUUCAAAGCCGUCGCGUGAUUGGUUGACUCGCAGCGCUGGAGUCCUGGCAGCUCGAGCGACCAAUUUCACAGACUGUCAACACUCUACACAGGUAAACUGCCGCUAAAAUAUUUUAACAAUUAGUAGUUUUAACAGCAAAGUUAUCAGGGACAACAAAUCCCGUCAGCUCAGUUAAAUGGUAGUUAGGGUUUGCUUAUUUCUCUUUCGCUUCACUCGCUGUGUUUUUAAAAAUGAAACCACGGCAAAUGUAAAAUUUACAGUGUAUCGUAAAUGUUUUGUUUGGGAGCAAAUUUGAAGUCAUGAUUUAUAACACCUUUGUUACUGUUAUGGCUGUAACUGUUUGCGUUGGGGAGAUCGCAUUUUCUCAGCUCAAUCACGUCAUCAAAAUCCAAGACAAAUAUACAGUAAACUGUACGGAGCAGUGUUGCCAACUAUUUCUCAUGGGAAGUCGCCAAAGGCCCGCUGAAAUGUCGCUAAAAGUAGCUAAAUCACGUGAUGACGUCAUUUAUUACGUAAGACGUCAAUUGUACACAGGGUUGUUUCAGACCAUUCUGAUGCCUUAGGCGAGAUCCCUAUUGCUGGGAGGGGUUCGUUGCAGCGGCCUCCACUUUGGCGCCCAAAAAGCCCAAUAUCGUAAUAUAUAUAUAUAUAUAUAUUGUACAUAUCUGAUGUGUGAUACUGAACCAUCAGUGUGUAUUACUUGUGCCAGUGUUACUGUGUCACAAUGAAUUUUUGACAGUGACACCUCAUCUGUUUAUAUCACUUAUCUCUAUAUAAUUUAUUGUAGAUAAGGGUUCAUAUACAUUCUAUUCUCUCUCUUUUUCUCUCUCUCGCCCUGCUAGAUAAUUUCGCAAUGCUCUUCUAUCGCUGUAGGCUGACUUUUCUUUUCUAAAGGGAGAGCAUGCACGUGAAUUGAGGUUGAGAUUGUCACAACAAAUACCAACAACACAUAAGCUCGUAAAUCAUUCGAUUUAUAGAACAUCCGUAUGCACAUAAAUCCCACUCCUGAUGGCAUGCAGGUCAGUCACAUUACUUGAAACACAGGGGGGCGGUAGAACACCGAGAAAAAUGAGAUAUCAUUCACGAUAGAGCUGAUGUUGUUUGUAGCGCCAGAUGUGGAAAAAUGUUGCUAAAGCAGACUACAAAAUUCGCUAGUCAAGUCAAGUGAUUUUUAUUUGUAUAGCGCUUUUCACAACACACAUCGUUUUACAGAAAAUCAUGCAUUAACAGAAAAUGAAACUGUAAUAUCUAUAAAGUCUUAAGAGUGAUCAUUGUGUAGUUUGAUUAAAUAUGAUUGUAAAUUAUGUAUAAAAUAUAAAUAAUUAAAUAGUAAUUGUAUUUAUACCCCUGUGAGCAAGCUGAAGGUGACUGUGGCAAGGAACACAAAACUCCAUAAGAUGUUGGUUAAUAGAGAAAAAAGAAAAAUCUUGGGAGAAACCAGGCUCACUGUGGGGGCCAGUUCCCCUCUGGAUAACCAGAAUGAAUAUAAUGCCAAUAUUACUUAUUUGUAUGCAGUACAAGUCAUGGUUUAAAUUUGUAAAUUAAGUAAGCAUUAAGGUCCAGUGUUUAAAAAAAAAGAAGAUUUUUAUGAACUUUAUGAUCGUGUGACGAAGCGACACGAUCCCGUUCAUUUUCAAUGAGAGCGCAGCAAAUGUUGGCAACAGAGAUCGCCUUGGGGAGCGACAAAACAAGUUGAGAAAAUGUCAACUUUAUGCAAAUGACGAGCAACAUUCGGGAGCAACUACCAAUGAGAGUGAAGACAGACGAGCCUACGUCAUCCGUCUCCAGGCAGGGUUAUGCGACUGCUGGACCAACUUUAGUGCUUAAAACCACUAAAUAAUAAUCACAGAAUAGAUGAAACUAUGCCUCUUAUCAGACAACAGAUAAUUUUGUCACUGCUUGAUAAAGGCAGCAGCACAUGGAUGUCUACCAGAACAUGCAAGUGAAAUGAUAUUAUGUUCUGAAAAAGGAGGUGAUAUUUUAGAUUUUUAUUGUGAUUUCAGCUAUCCACCCCACCUGUGGUAUGAGUCAUUGUCUGAUCUGAUAACAGGAUAUGUCUGCCUUAAAACUAUCAGAUUAUUUAAAAAGCAGCUACACUAUGUCUUCCAGCUGUGUUUGGUGAGGAUACUUCUCUCCGCUUUUCCACUAAGCAUACAGACACUGUUGGACACCACAACCUCAAUACCUGCAGAGAGGGACUGCCACUAACUUACACUAAAAUACACAGUGAUUGAUAGUGAAGACAUAGGAGGAUUGUGUAUAUAUUUUAGUGAAAUUUAGCCUUCGAUACACACAUUUUGUGUUUCCAUGGGACUUUUCUCUAGCUUUAAGGGAUAGUUCAACCAAAAAUGAAAAGUCUCUCAUCAUAUACUUACCUUCAUGCCAUCACAGAUGUGUUUGACUUUCUUUCUUCUGCUGAACACAGAUGAAGAUUUUUAGAAGAAUAUUUCAGCUCUGUGGGUCCAUACAAUGCAAGUGAAUGUUGACCAGAACUUUGAAUCUUCAAAAAUUACAAAGUCAGCAUAAAAGUAAUCCAUCUGACCAGUGGUUUAAUUCAUGUCUUCAGAAGUGAUAUGAUAGGUGUGGGUGAGAAACAGAUCAAUAUUUGAGUGCUUUUAAACAAUAAAAAUCACCUUUCACUUCCACAUUCUUUUCUUUUUUGUUUUUGUUUUGGUGAUUUGCAUUCUUCGUGCAUGUAGCCACAUACUGGUCAGGGCUGGUCAAAGGUGGAGAUAUAUAGUGAAAAAUGACUUACAUAUUGACCUGUUUCUCACCCACACCUAUCAUAUCGCUUCAGAAGACAUUGAUUAAACAACUGGAGUUUUAUGGAUUACUUUUAUGCUGAUUUAUGUGUUUUUUUGGAGCUUCAAAGUUCUGGCCACCAUUCACUUUUAUUGUAUGGACCUACAGAGCUGAGAUAUUCUUCUAAAAAUCUUUAUUAGUGUUCUGCAGAAGAAAUUAAGUCCUACACAUCUGGGAUGGUAUGAGAGAAUUAACAUUUUUUGGUGAACUAUCCCUUUAAAGUAUUGGUUGUCAGCAUGGAAGACAAAUACUCUCUCUAUAAAAGAUAAAAAAUUUACAAGUUCUAUCCCAGUCUUCAUGUGUGGAGCAAUGUAGUGGUCUGCUAUUUCAUUUGCAUAUGCAUUUAUUUACUUUUUCACAUUAUGUAUUUGUUGAUGUAUUUAUUAAUGUGAGUGAUUUAUGCAUUUGGAAUUAUUUAAUCCGAAUAAUUUAUUCAUGUUUUCAACUAAUGAUUGAUGUAAAAGAAUUGUUAGUUUUUUUUUAUUUUAUUUUAUUUUUACAAUUUUUCAUUUUAAUAGAAAAUAAAAGUACUUAAUUGACAAACAUGCCUUGCUUUUAUAUAUAUAUAUAUAUACACACUACCAUUCAAAAGUUUAGGGUCACUUAUUCAUUCUUUCUUUCUUUAUUUUUUUAUUAUUUUUCACAUUUUAGAAUAAUAGUAAAGUCAUCACAACUAUGGAAUAAUAGAAAUGGAAAUAUGGGAAUUAUGUUGUGACUAAAAAAAUCCAAAAUAAAUCAAAACUGUGUUAUAUUUUAGCAUCUUCAAAGUGGCCACACUUUCCCUAGAAUUUGCAGACAUGUAAACAUGACAUUUUUUCAACCAACUUCACCCUGGGAUGCUUUAAACAGUAUUGAAGGAGUUCCCAUCUAUGUUGGGCACUUAGUGGCUGCUUUUCUUAAUUAUUCGGUCUAAGUCAUCCAUUUCAAAAACGUUUUUUUUUUUUUUUAAAUAAAAUUUUAGUUUUGUAAUUAAAUAAAUUAAUAUGUUGGCACAAUUAUAUUUUUGUCUACAAAACUAAUUUCAAAUAUUUAAGCAUACGCCUUCAGAUCAAAAGAUUUUUAAGAUCAUGAGAAACAUUUCAGGCA